ACAAGGGACUGCAUCUGACCUUUCCUUGUAAAACAAUAUCACUGCGCGUCCACCAAAGACACGACUUAUACGCGUCCGAGCAAAGACAAACAAAGGAGUUGCUAAGUUUUGAAGAGUUUGAAUUUCCAUUAGAAGCUGGGAACCAUCUGAAAGCCUGCGCUUGAUCUGGAUGCUGCGUCCCAUAAAAAUCCACAGCGAUCCGUGCUCCUUUUCCAUUAGCAGGCCGGAGCUCGUCACAGACACAAAUCAAUCGUACACGUAAAUAAUCCACCAAAUCUGCCAGAAUGACUGCGUCUGGAUUGCUGAACAGGCUGCUAUAUUGGCUGUCUAUAGAACAGCCUCAGAACAGAAACAAGAAGUUUUGUUCAGUCGUGUCUGGCGUCACAAUUCCCAUUAGGGGUGAUGUUGGCACAGGUACCGAAGCCAUUUCCUUCUCCAGCUCCUUUAACAGAUGAGGACACUGAGGCCAACAGGCUGAAGUGACUUGCCCAGGGUCACACAGCCGCUAAACAUUGGCCGCGUCUGUGUCAUUUUCCCUUGCACGUGUGGACGUCAAGACUGGCUCCCAAAGGGUGACUCUGUUUCCGGGCUGCGUUAUUUCUUGAAAGUGUUGGGCUCAGCCCUUCCCGCGGCGUCACGGUUCUGUCUCUGGGACAGCUUUCGGGGUCUCUGCCUCACUCUUGCUCCCUUCAGUCAAGGGCUCUGUCGUUGCCCGUCUUACAGCUGUGCCUUGUUGGGAUGAGGGCCUUCGCGAAGGGCUACUGAACUGAUGCAUAAGCCGGUGCCAGCAAUGGGCCUAGCCGCGCUUCUGUGACGCCUUUGGGGGUGCAGAAGGCUCUCUGCCCUGAGGCAGGGAAUGCAAGCAUCGCCCUCACACGAGGAGCUGAAGACUCGGAGGAUCCAAUCGGGUCCCUGAAUGAUCCCUGGAAUCAUCAGAGAUCACAGCCUCCACCAUAAUCCACUCUAUGGGCACAGGGAGAAGAAGACUUGCAACUACAUCUGUUCUUGCACCUUGACUUACAAUCUUCUUCUAACCUGAGCUGGCUGUGGCCUCCAGAAGACACCCCUGAGCUCUUGCUAGUCCUCCUUUGACUUACCUUCCCCAACCCAUCCUGAGAAGAGGGUCAGAAGGCAUUUCUUUUGGAGUUAUUUGACCAGCAAUCAAAUUGUUCUCGAUGUCACUCCCACCUCUCUAUGCCCUCCAACUGUUUGUGGUUUUUGUUUAUAUGUGAAAUUAGUUCUACUUACAAAUAAAGUUAUAAAUAAGUUCUAUUAUGCAUAUUAAAAAGAACAAUUCAUUAUCGGCUUACAGAAAAUACAUGGAGGACCCCAUCAUUCUUUUUUUAAAAGGAGAAGCAGAGUACUUUAAAUUUUUUCUAGAUCUUUUUUUACCUCAUUUUCAUUAGCCUGGGUUCCUGAUUUCUUUUCAUCCUAUUCUGCAUCCUACAUUUUACUACAUCCUAUGUUAUACUUUCAUGUACUUGAAGAAGCUUUUUUUUUUUUAAUGUCCACUAAUGGCUCUACACUAAGUGUUUAGAAAGUAUAACGCCUCUCACUUUCUUAUGUUCUCUUAUCUUUACUAAUGUUGAUUGAAGGCCCCUACUAUCAAAGAUCUUAUCCAAAGAAUCCAUGACUUAGAUAAAAAUCAUCAAUUGUAAAGCCAAAAGGGACCUUAAGGAGCUCAUUUACUACAAAGCCCACAUUUGUUGUAGAGGAGGAAUCUUGGAUCCAAAGACUUUAAAUGACUUGCCCAAGGUCAUAAAGCAUAGAUGAGACCCCCUACCCAAUUCCUUCCAAUAGAUUCUUCAAGGAGAAAUAUGUAUGACCUGUAAUUGCUACAAGAAGAACAAAUUUCAGAGUCCUGGAAUUUUUCAAAGUAGGAAUUGAGAUCACCCUGAAAAUAUUAUUUCUAAAUUGACAAAUAUGGAGGGAAGGGGAAGUAAUCUCAGUGGUAUUACUUCUUAUCCUCCUAUUAUUUUAUUACAGCUCCAAAACUUUCAUUCCUAUAGAUUAAAAAUUGUAAUCUUCCACACUCCUAGGUUUCCAACAUUUAUAAAGAUUCCCCGUUAAUGUAACAAUUUUCAAAGAAAAAAAGGUCAAAUUCUGGUAUAAAGUGAUCCAGCAACAAAUCCUACAUGUCAAAUUGGGGGAUUCUUCACCAGCACCAGUCUCUGUAGUUGACAAAUAAAUUAAGUGAAUGAAAAUUCGGAAUACCUCAAGGCUCAUGGAAAAAUCUAGGUGUGUAAAGACUCAGAAGCCUGGCCUAGGUCUUUGCCAAAAUACACAAAUUCAUUUAGAUUUUCCUACCACAUGUGCAAGAAAAUUCCAUAAAUCUCACUUUUACAGCAUUCCUCCUUUGGAAAUAGUCACUUGGGUUUAGGUAUAGUCUGGGUAAACUUGGUUUAGGGAGUUGGGACCACACUGAGAUUUAAGAAGUAUUAAAUGAUUUUUUAAAACCUGACUAAUUUCAUAGGGAUCUGUUAGGGAUACAAUAAAGUCUACCUUUUAUCCCAAUAAAUUUGGAAAAGUAAACUUCCCUAUUCCUUGACAAGAGUAUUAAUUCUGAUUUAAAGAUAAUAUUUAUUUGAGAGAAGAAUUAGGGUCUUUCAGUUAGUCCCUCCCUAAGUUUCCAAAUCAGCACAAUUAUAUCAAGAAUUGUCAAAUGCAAUUCUUUUAAAUGGACUAAAACUAAUUGUCACUUAUUGUAGAAGAGUCCAGUCAAAUGCCCAGGCCCUAAGGACUUGGGUUCAAAUAUGACUUCAGGCAUUCCCUAGCUUGUGCUAUU